AGAGUUUGAUCCUGGCUCAGAUUGAACGCUGGCGGCAUGCCUUACACACGCAAGUCGAACGGCAGCACGGGGGGUAACCCCUGGUGGCGAGUGGCGAACGGGUGAGUAAUAUAUCGGAACGUGCCCUGUAGCGGGGGAUAACCUAUCGAAAGAUGGACUAAUACCGCAUACGCUCUACGGAGGAAAGCGGGGGUCGCAAGACCUCGCACUAUAGGAGCGGCCGAUAUCGGAUUAGCUAGUUGGCGGGGUAAAAGCCCACCAAGGCGACGAUCCGUAGCUGGUCUGAGAGGAUGAUCAGCCACACUGGAACUGAGACACGGUCCAGACUCCUACGGGAGGCAGCAGUGGGGAAUUUUGGACAAUGGGCGCAAGCCUGAUCCAGCCAUGCCGCGUGAGUGAAGAAGGCCUUCGGGUUGUAAAGCUCUUUCGGCAGGAACGAAAUGGUUCGUGCUAAUACCACGGAUUGAUGACGGUACCUGAAGAAGAAGCACCGGCUAACUACGUGCCAGCAGCCGCGGUAAUAC
rnacentral:rRNA from 1 species